UCCACACGACUCUCUGAGCUUCGCCAUGCCGCCCAAAGACGACAAGAAGAAGAAAGAUGCCGGAAAGUCGGCCAAAAAGGACAAAGACCCAGUCAAUAAGUCUGGCGGCAAGGCUAAGAAGAAGUGGUCCAAAGGCAAAGUUCGGGACAAGUUGAACAAUCUUGUCCUGUUUGACAAAGCGACAUACGACAAGCUCUGUAAGGAAGUUCCCAACUAUAAGCUUAUUACUCCGGCUGUGGUCUCGGAGAGACUGAAGAUUCGCGGUUCCUUGGCCAGGGCAGCCCUGCAGGAGCUCCUCAGUAAAGGACUUAUCAAGCUGGUUUCAAAGCACAGAGCCCAAGUAAUUUACACCAGAAACACAAAGGGUGGAGACGCCCCAGCUGCUGGUGAAGAUGCAUGAACAGGUUCAAUCAGCUGUACAUUUGGGAAAAUAAAACUUUAUUGAAUCAAAAAAAAAAA